rnacentral:lncRNA from 1 species
AAUCUAAGUGCCAUUCGAGAAGAGAGUGAACUGCUGAACAUCGAGAAGAAGAUAGUGGAGUGCAGUGAGGACAUCACGGAGCUGUUCAACGUGCUCAUGACGCUGGAGAUGCAGCUGGUAGAACAGCUGGAGGAGACCAUAAACGUGUUUGAAAGGAACAUCACCGACAUGGUGGGAUUAUUUAUCGAAAACGUCCAGAGCCUAUAUCCUUCCUGUGGUGGCCUCCAGUCCUGGCCUAUAGCAGAGCUAUGGAAGAGGUCCCUGCACUUUAAACAAAAGUCAGGGAAGAGCGAACCUUCUUCAGGAGCUCGGCAGGAUGCAAAUAAACGGGGCCCCUUCAGCUGGCCUCCUGCAAGGCCUCCUGCCCCAUCCUUCCCACUGCCACCGAGUCCUAAACACACUGGCAAAAAUAGGCAAAAGUCAGCGCUCUACAACACACUGAGCUUCACCAGAAAUGCCUACUCCCCACCUGCCUGUCAGAAAGAUCUAUACCUCCACCAAGAGGGUAUUUAAAUUCACCCUAGGAUCCUGUUAAAUGAGGUUCUCUACCUUUGAUAUUAGAAGAAUGGAAACCUCCAGUUUCUGCCAAGAAAAAAGCUCACUUUCAGAUGAUGUAGAUUUGACAACCACGUAGACCGUGCAGAGGAAUGUUCCAUGGGGCCCGAGGGGGUUUCCCAAGUCUCAGAACAACGGUGGCCCUGUUAGGGUGGCAGUUUGGAUGCCUGGAGGGACAGCGGGAGAGUCCUGGCACGUCUGUUCUCAAAUAGGUGAUGUUCGUGGGGAGAUGGCACCCCUGAAUCACUGCUUGCUUCUGUGCUACAGCCACACACACUCUCAGGGAGAGGCAAUAUCCACAUUAAAGACACUGACAAAUUAUUUAUAAUGAAUUUAUCAGUUUAAAUGUUAAGAUUAGGAGCCAAA